UGCCAGACUCCUACGGGAGGCAGCAGUGAGGAAUAUUGGUCAAUGGCCGGAAGGCUGAACCAGCCAAGCCGCGUGAAGGACGAAGGUGCCAAGCAUUGUAAACUUCUUUUGUCAAGGGACAAAAUCAGGCUCGAGAGCCUGACCGAGGGUACUUGAAGAAAAAGCAUCGGCUAACUCCGUGCCAGCAGCUGCGGUAAUACGGAGGAUGCGAGCGUUAUCCGGAUUUAUUGGGUUUAAAGGGUGCGUAGGCGGGCUGUUAAGUCAGCGGUAAAAGCCCGGGGCUCAACCCCGGGGCUGCCGUUGAAACCGGAGCGCUAGAAUUCCGAUGCCGUCGGAGGAAUGUGUGGUGUAGCGGUGAAAUGCAUAGAUAUCACGCAGAACUCCGAUUGCGAAGGCAGCAUACCGGCGCCCGACUGACGCUGAGGCACGAAAGCGUGGGGAUCGAACAGGAUUAGAUACCCGCGUAAA
rnacentral:rRNA from 1 species